GAUGAACGCUAGCGGGAGGCUUAACACAUGCAAGUCGUGGGGCAGCACGGGGUAGCAAUACUCUGGUGGCGACCGGCGCACGGGUGAGUAACGCGUAUGCAACCUGCCCUGUACAGGGGGAUAGCCCGGAGAAAUUCGGAUUAAUACCCCAUAAAGAUAUCGAGAGGCAUCCUUUGAUAUUUAAAGCUUCGGCGGUACGGGAUGGGCAUGCGUAACAUUAGCUAGUUGGUAGGGUAACGGCCUACCAAGGCCACGAUGUUUAGGGGUCCUGAGAGGGUGAUCCCCCACACUGGUACUGAGACACGGACCAGACUCCUACGGGAGGCAGCAGUGAGGAAUAUUGGUCAAUGGGCGCAAGCCUGAACCAGCCAUCCCGCGUGCAGGAAGAAUGCGCUAUGCGUUGUAAACUGCUUUUCCAGGGGAAGAAAAUCCUGUACGUGUACGGGACUGACGGUACCUUGGGAAUAAGCAUCGGCUAACUCCGUGCCAGCCGCCGCAGUAAGAC
rnacentral:rRNA from 1 species